rnacentral:rRNA from 1 species
CCUGACUGCUAUCGGAUUGAUACUAAGCCAUGCGAGUCUUUGUAGUAAUACAAGGCAUACGGCUCAGUAACGCGUAGUCAACCUACCCUAUGGACAAGAAUAAUCUCGGGAAACUGAGCACAAUUCUUGAUAGAUCAUAAUGCCUGGAAUGGUUUAUGGUUAAAAUGAUUCGUCGCCAUAGGAUGGGACUGCGGCCUAUCAGCUUGUUGGUGAGGUAAUGGCCCACCAAGGCGAUUACAGGUACGGGCUCUGAGAGGAGAAGCCCGGAGAUGGGUACUGAGACAAGGACCCAGGCCCUAUGGGGCGCAGCAGGCGAGAAAACUUUGCAAUGUGCGAAAGCACGACAAGGUUAGUCCGAGUGAUUUCUGCUAAAGAGAUCUUUUGCUAGUUAUAAAACCACUAGUGAAUAAGGGGAGGGCAAGUUCUGGUGUCAGCCGCCGCGGUAAAACCAGCACCUCAAGUGGUCAGGAUGAUUAUUGGGCCUAAAGCAUCCGUAGCCGGCUCUGUAAGUUUUCGGUUAAAUCCAUACGCUCAACGUAUGGGCUGCCGAAAAUACUGCAGAGAUAGGGAGUGGGAGAGGUAGACGGUACUCGAUAGGAAGGGGUAAAAUCCUUUGAUCUAUUGAUGACCACCUGUGGCGAAGGCGGUCUACCAGAACACGUUCGACGGUGAGGGAUGAAAGCUGGGGGAGCAAACCGGAUUAGAUACCCGGGUAGUCCCAGCUGUAAACGAUGCAGACUCGAUGAUGCAAUGGCAUAGAGCUAUUGCAGUAUCGCAGGGAAGCCGUUAAGUCUGCCGCCUGGGAAGUACGUACGCAAGUAUGAAACUUAAAGGAAUUGGCGGGGGAGCACCACAAGGGGUGAAGCCUGCGGUUC